GGGAUGACACAGUAGGAUAAGCUAAGCACACUGUUGGUUAUGUGUGCCCAAGCAUUGAGGCAGUCAAAGUAGGUAAAUCCGCUUUGAUAAUGCUGGGAUGUGAUGGGGAGCGAAAUUUAGUAGCGAAGUAGCUGAUUUCACACUGUCAAGAAAAGUCUCUAUCGAGGUUAAAGGUACCCGUACCGCAAACCGACACAGGUGGGUGAGGAGAGUAUCCUAAGGCCAGCGAGAGAACUGUUGUUAAGGAACUCGGCAAAAUGACCCCGUAACUUAGGGAUAAGGGGUGCCACCAUCAGGUGGCCGCAGAGAAUAGGCCCAAGCGACUGUUUACCAAAAACAUAGGUUUCUGCUAAGUCGCAAGACGAUGUAUAGGAGCUGACGCCUGCCCGGUGCUGGAAGGUUAAGGGGAUCUGUUAGAGCAAUCGAAGCAGUGAACUUAAGCCCCAGUAAACGGCGGCCGUAACUAUAACGGUCCUAAGGUAGCGAAAUUCCUUGUCGGGUAAGUUCCGACCCGCACGAAAGGCGUAACGAUUUGGGCACUGUCUCAACAACAGACUCGGUGAAAUUGUAAUUCCGGUGAAGAUGCCGGAUACCUGCGACAGGACGGAAAGACCCCAUGGAGCUUUACUGUAGCUUGACAUUGGGUCUUGGUACUACAUGUACAGGAUAGGUGGGAGGCUUUGAAACCAGGACGCCAGUUUUGGCGGAGCCAUCCUUGGGAUACCACCCUUGUAGUACUGGGACUCUAACCAUAG
rnacentral:rRNA from 1 species